GACGAACGCUGGCGGCGUGCUUAACACAUGCCAGUCGAACGGUAAGGCCCUUUCGGGGGUACACGAGUGGCGCACGGGUGAGUAACACGUGGGUGAUCUGCCCUGCACUUUGGGAUAAGCCUGGGAAACUGGGUCUAAUACCGGAUAGGACUACGCGAUGCAUGUCGUGUGGUGGAAAGCUUUUGCGGUGUGGGAUGGGCCCGCGGCCUAUCAGCUUGUUGGUGGGGUGAUGGCCUACCAAGGCGACGACGGGUAGCCGGCCUGAGAGGGUGUCCGGCCACACUGGGACUGAGAUACGGCCCAGACUCCUACGGGAGGCAGCAGUGGGGAAUAUUGCACAUUGGGCGCAAGCCUGAUGCAGCGACGCCGCGUGGGGGAUGACGGCCUUCGGGUUGUAAACCCCUUUCAGCACAGACGAAGCGUAAGUGACGGUAGGUGCAGAAGAAGCACCGGCCAACUACGUG
rnacentral:rRNA from 1 species